rnacentral:misc_RNA from 1 species
GAUGAAGAACGCAGCGAAAUGCGAUAAGUAAUGUGAAUUGCAGAAUUCAGUGAAUCAUCGAAUCUUUGAACGCACCUUGCGCCCUUUGGACAUUCCGAAGGGCAUGCCUGUUUGAGUAUCAUGAACACCCCAACUCUCACGGCUUGUCCGUGAUGAGCUUGGACUUUGGGGGUCUUGCCGGCCUGUGGUCGGCUCCUCUCAAAUGGAUCAGCUUGCCAGUGUUUGGUGGCAUCACAGGUGUGAUAACUAUCUGCGCUUGUGGUUUUCCAUCAGAUAACCUUCAGUGAUAUGGAGGUUCGCUGGAGCUCACAAAUGUCUCUCCUUAGUGAGGACAGCUCUUUGAACGUUUGAUCUCAAAUCAGGUAGGACUACCCGCUGAACUUAAGCAUAUCAAUAAGCGGAGGA